UUAAUGGAAACCCUGAGAUGGAGACCAUGAGAUGGUGACCAUAAGAUGGUGACCUUGAGAUGGAGAGCCUGAGAUGGAGACCUUGUGAUGGAGGCCAUGAGAUGGACACCUUGUGCUGGACACCUUGAGACAUUGAGAUGGUGACCUUUGUAUGGAGCGAUGGAGGCAGCCAACUACUGUCACCAGAUUCUGCCAGCAGCUUUCAAGUCCAAGCUGAGACUUGGAAGCCAGAAUGUGAGCCAAAGCUUGGACACCGCUCCCCAUCGCCUUCAUAAGCGUACUGGGUGAAAACGUAAAGCAUGAGAAAAGCCAUUCUUCUUCCAGCUGAACCGUUUGCCUGGCACCCGCCUUCGAGGCGCUUAUAAGGCGAUAGGUCGGAGCACACAGGGUGAACAUCCUCUGCUGGGAUGUUGGCUACAUUUACACCCUCAACAGUCACUGAGGAACCUGGUGUGUCCUGUUUUUCCUUUUUAGUAUAAAGCCUCCGUUUGAUGCGUACACAAACUCUACCACUUGGAGGACCUGCAUAUGAACAGAUAACUGUUAAUGUAACACAGCAUUGUUCCAAAGGAUGCACAUAAAGGGUGUGAGGGAAAAUGGGAGGGGAGAGAGGGGAAGAGGAAAUGAGCAAUUCCCCAUAAACAGGCCCAAGAGAGGGUUUUGUGCCUAUACAACAAAUCCAGAAGCAAAGUUAGCAUCGUCAUGUAUAACUUAACAUAACAUCAUUGAAGCAUAUUGUUUUCCUGUACCGUUUGUGUUGGCAAUGUACAUUUAAUUCAAAAUAGUCUUCGACAAUUGUUAGAAGAUACAUCACGUUGCAUGAUGUAAAAAAAAAUACUUUUUUUUACUGAGUAAAUUAUAUGAAAAACUCAUUAGAAAAACAGUAGUAGAUGUUUGUUUUGAAGCUGUGGGAGCAAUAAAUGAAAACACACUUCUAGUUUUGUCUUUCUCUUUAUACGUCCAUAAUGGUGUACUAACAAUGCAAAUACAAAUUACUAUACUAUUUAUUCUCUAAAGGUGCAAAAGCUAUUGAAUUAAUGUAUUACAUGACAGGUGAGGCCCGGCAGUUAUUCAAUGUACCAAUGAUACCAAAGGAAAAAACUGUGCCUGCACCUUUGCAGGAGCAACAUGGUAGAAAAAACACCAGUGUGUGUGGUGGAAAGUUGUGGAUUAA
ensembl:lncRNA